rnacentral:rRNA from 1 species
CCUACGGGUGGCAGCAGUGAGGAAUAUUGGUCAAUGGACGAGAGUCUGAACCAGCCAAGUAGCGUGAAGGAUGACUGCCCUAUGGUUUGUAAACUUCGUUUAUAUGGGAAUAAAACAGGGUAUGCAUACCCUCUUGUAUGUACCAUAUGAAUAAGGAUCGGCUAACUCCGGGCCAGCAGCCGCGGUAAUACGGAGGGUCCGAGCGUUACCCGGAUUUAUUGGGUGUAAAGGGAGAGUAGGUGGAAUGUUAAGUCAGGUGUGAAAGUUUGCGGCUCAACCGUAAAAUUGCAGUUGAAACUGGCAGUCUUGAGUACAGUAGAGGUGAGCGGAAGUCGUGGUGUAGCGGUGAAAUGCUUAGAUAUCACGAAGAACUCCGAUUGCGAAGGCGGCUCACUGGACUGCAACUGACACUGAUGCUCGAAAGUGUGGGUAUCAAACAGGAUUAGAUACCCGAGUAGUC